rnacentral:rRNA from 1 species
GACGAACGCUGGCGGCGUGCUUAACACAUGCAAGUCGAACGGAAAGGCCCUGCUUUUGUGGGGUGCUCGAGUGGCGAACGGGUGAGUAACACGUGAGUAACCUGCCCUUGACUUUGGGAUAACUUCAGGAAACUGGGGCUAAUACCGGAUAGGAGCUCCUGCUGCAUGGUGGGGGUUGGAAAGUUUCGGCGGUUGGGGAUGGACUCGCGGCUUAUCAGCUUGUUGGUGGGGUAGUGGCUUACCAAGGCUUUGACGGGUAGCCGGCCUGAGAGGGUGACCGGCCACAUUGGGACUGAGAUACGGCCCAGACUCCUACGGGAGGCAGCAGUGGGGAAUAUUGCACAAUGGGCGGAAGCCUGAUGUAGCAACGCCGCGUGCGGGAUGACGGCCUUCGGGCUGUAAACCGCUUUCGCCUGUGACGAAGCGUGAGUGACGGUAAUGGGUAAAGAAGCACCGGCUAACUACGUG